UUCCAUCUGAACCGCACGUUCCUUUCUUUUUCUCCUCCUCUUCAUGUCUCUCAAUCUCUCUCCUCUUCGAAAUCGACAAUUUGAUGAAACCUUAUUCUCUCUCCUCCGGCGGCAUUUCCUAAUUUUCCCAUUCAACAGCGAUAAUUUCAGAGAUUGAGAGGAUGAAAGAUUGUUGGGAAAUGCAUGGACGACCAAGAAAACCCUCAAAUCCCGAAGGCCGAAGAUGAAGCAGCUUCUUCUGAUAAAGCCUCCAAAUUACGCACUCUUCAAUCCCAAUUCAUCCACUUUCAUGACAACAAACUGUACUCUUCUUUAUCUCUAAUCAAAAUCAAUUGAUUCUUGUUUGUGUUAUCAUUUAGUUUUGUUUGCUCAAUUGAUUUCAGCUACGACAAAGAAGCCGCGGAAGUCUGAACAAAACAGCUUCAGAUAAACCCAGAAUAUUACACUCCCUGGAAUUAUCGCAAACUCGCUAUUGAGCAUUUUCUAAGCCAACCCGGCUGCGAUCCGACACUAUUUUGAAUGAGGAGCUUCGCGUUGUAGAGAGUGCACUGAGACAAAAUUUCAAGUCAUAUGGUGCGUGGCAUCAUCGCAAAUGGGUGGUUAGCAAGGGCCAUUCAUCUGUAGACCAGGAAUUACGUCUAUUAGAUAAGUUUUAGAAGGUUGAUUCACAGAUUUCACGCAUGGAACUAUAUAUGGUAAAAAUAUGCACUGUCACUUGAAUAAGAUAGUUUGACACAACAUGGUUUUUCAUUGUCUAGAGUGAAAGUGGCCGGACCAAGAAAGCGAGAGAUUGAGAGGAUGAAAGAUUGAGAAACCAACGCACCACCAUACUAGCACUUCAAUUUCAGGAACCCUAAAAAAAUGGAGGAUGUUAAAGCCAUUCUCGGCAAAUACAACCCUUUUCAAUCUCUAAAAUCGACUGUAAUUUUUGUUUGCCCAAAAUUCCCACUUCUUUAUUUGUCUAAUUGUUCUCAUCGUUUUGUUUGACUAAUUUUUUUUUUCAAGUUGUUGACUAUGUAUGGUAAUUUGGUAGGUUAAUGAACAUGUGCUUGUUCAUGUUUCACUGCAGCCUUUGAGGGCCUUACAUGUAAGUUUGUCGAAUGCAAGAUUCCAACACUUAUGGAUCCGCUUUUUCUCUCAAGAUGGACCUCGUUCGCCAAAUUCUUUCUAGAUUUGCAAGCUACAAUGCGGAGCGAAAUCAACGGUAAUAAUCCAUCUCCACUUUCAGUUUAUCUUUCAGAUCUAAGGUUCAUAUAUAUGUUCAUCGGUGUCAGAGUUGUUCUUUUUGUCAUGUCAUGUUUUGGUUGCGUAGGAGCUUCAACAAAACUGGAUGUUGUCUAUCAACUUAUGCUGUAUUCAUAAUUUUGUUGAUCUUGUUGGAGCUUGGAUGUGCCGUGCCGCCUUUGUAUUAUUUGACAAAAACUGGAACGAUGAAAUCCCCACUGACAAAACUGGAAAAUUUGAUAUGAUUAAUGAUUUUCUAGAGGAGCACUGGUCCAUUGCCAAGUGGGUUCUUCUUGGAAUUGUUGUUUUGGAGGUAUAUCAUAAAUGUACUUU